rnacentral:misc_RNA from 1 species
GUGAAUCAUCAAAUCUUUGAACGCAAAUUGCACUCUCUGGUAUUCCGGAGAGUAUGCCUGUUUGAGGGUCAGUUAAAUAAAAAUCGGUGUGGUCGCUGCUUUUCGUGGUGACGCACCGGAUUUGGGUCGUCUUGCCUUCGGUUAAGUGACCUAAAAUUUUGCAUGAUUUUUUCGUACGUAUUUAAAUGAUUUUACGUACGUUUGCGAUGUCUGAUAGUAGCUGUGGUCAUCU